ACCCUAAUUGCAGAUAGUAUCUUCUUCCCAGAAGACUCCAGGAAGGAGAGGGAAAGACUGACCGGCAAAAUUUUUGAUCCUUGUGGCAUAGUGGGUUAAACUGCAGUACCGCAGCCAAGACUUUGCUCGGGACCUGAAUUCGGUCCUGUUGGGCUCAGGCUUGAAGUUGACUUCGCCUUCCAUCCUUCCAAGAAGAGAACACACAAAAUUUUAUCGGCCUCUGGAGCGACCAGCUGAUAACUGGACUAUUCCUGUUGGAGCUACUCAGAUGCAUCACUGUCUUGCUGUCACUGGAAAUCCCGCACGGAGGACCGAAACCCUCCUCAACGGCAGAGCUUAACUGAUUUAAACAGAGCACGCUGCACCAUUUCCCUUUCAACUGUAGCACGGAAGGUGGAGGUGACCACUGCCACUUUCCUUCUAGACUUACUGAAAUCAACAUUAAAACAACAAGAAGCAAAACUUGUUGUUGCAAAGAAGAACAAGCCGUAGUUGCCUCCCAGCAUGUUCAUUGCGGUUAAUGAGGGUGCCACAGCGUGAGCAAAACGCAUGGGG